rnacentral:rRNA from 1 species
UACGUAGGGUCCGAGCGUUGUUCGGAAUUACUGGGCGUAAAGCGCACGUAGGCGGCUGGGUCCGUCCGAUGUGAAAGCCCCCGGCUCAACCGGGGAAUUGCAUCGGAUACAGCCCGGCUUGAGGACGGUUGGGGUGAGUGGAACUCCUGGUGGAGCGGUGAAAUGCGUAGAUAUCAGGAGGAACACCGGUGGCGAAAGCGGCUCACUGGACCGUAACUGACGCUGAGGUGCGAAAGCUAGGGGAGCAAACGGG